rnacentral:rRNA from 1 species
GUCUACGCCCAAGCCACCCUGAACAAGCCUGAUGUCUGAUCUCAGAGGCUAAGUAGGGUCAGGCCUGGUUAGUACUUGGAUGGGAGACCACCUAGGAAGACCAGGUGUUAUAGGCA